AACGCACGAGACCUGCGGACCUGCGGAGGGAUCAUUAAUGAAUAAACUUGGUCAAGCUGUUGCUGGUCUCUCGAGACAUGUGCACGCUUGCCACCAACUUUAACCACCUGUGCACCUUUUGUAGACUGGAAACGUUUCUCGAGGCAACUCGGAUUGGGAACUGUUGCGCGCAAGCCAGCCGUUCUUGUGUUUCUCAGUCUAUGUUUUCAUAUACUCCUAAUGUAUGUAAUCGAAUGUAUU
rnacentral:misc_RNA from 1 species